AAAUGUUCUAUUGUUAAAAUGGCUGUCCUAAGAAGACCUCACCAAACUGUCACGUGCCUAAUUAUCUUGCAGGCGAGCAUUGUUUCAGUUUGAAUGUUAACAAGUGAAAGCCCUUAUCCGGUUCAGGGUGGCCUCUGAGUGUCACUGCUGGGGAAAAGGUGGUGGGAGGACUGGAUGAUCCUGAAUGAGCCAUCCUGGAAAACUUGAGAAGCUAAGUGGGGCAGUGGCUGGGUGUUCCUUAGGCCAGAAGUCGAGACGGCAAGAGGACUGAGUCAAGCAGCUAAGUCCCUAACUGCAGAGCUGGCAUUUGGCUCAGUCAGUCAGGGGUGGAUAGAAAGCUUCGUGCUUUCCUGUGACCGAUAGAUGGCUGCUGAACCAGAGGACUCAUUCCUAUGGGAUGCAAGGGACAGCAACUCUUUCCUACCUGUGACAUUCCAGAGCAUCCAACAGAACAGACUGUGACCCACCUGGAGGUCCUGCUGAAUCGCUUGCUCAGGCUCUUCCUCGUUGCUUCCAGAACAAGGAAGCAACAUAUUCGGCCAUGAUCCAGUUGUAGAACUCUCAGCUACUUCCUCUAGCACCAUGUAUGCCUUCCUGCUGUCACAUUCCCGUUCCCCACCGUGAUGACAAAGAACCAA